UACGUAGGUGGCAAGCGUUGUCCGGAUUUAUUGGGUUUAAAGGGUGCGUAGGCGGUUUUUUAAGUCAGUGGUGAAAUACUUCAGCUUAACUGGAGAGGUGCCAUUGAUACUGGGAAACUUGAGUACUGAUGAGGUAGGCGGAAUGGACGGUGUAGCGGUGAAAUGCUUAGAUAUCGUCCAGAACACCGAUAGCGAAGGCAGCUUACUGGCCCGUUACUGACGCUGAGGCACGAAAGCGUGGGGAGCAAACAGG
rnacentral:rRNA from 1 species